UUUUAGUUCAAAACUACGUCGUUUCAUGCGUUUUGCUUGUCACAAAAAACAAGCCCUAAUUUUACACUUCUCACGUUGCCUCUCUCCACUUUUACUCUACCUCUCUCCACUCCUGCAUCCACGCUCCAUUCCUGCUGAAGACUUCCAUCAGUAGCGACGGUGACCCCGACCACAAAUCGACGGCUGUCGCUCCGAUCAUCCCAGGCAGGACACUUCAUCUCCGCCCCCUUCCUCGCCAGCCAAAACUCGCCAGCACCACCACCACACUCUGUGAUUUCUGGUAUAUAUUCACCAGGUUUGAUUUGAUUUUUUUCCUUAAUUCUUUCCCAAAUACAAAGGUAGGGUUUUAAUCGAACACCAUUAGAAUUUUAUAAUCAGUUAGGAUUUACACAAAUUUUGCACUUGUAGGAUUUGGAUUUACAUUCGUUGAGGUAUCGGUUUUCAUUUGGAUAACAUAUUGGGGUUUUUAGGUUGACUGACUCAUUCGGAUAACAAGCUCAAGAAAUAGGAGAUGAAAAAUAUUGUUUCCAUGCGUCAUGGGGACACCCCCCCAGCCCCCAAGCUAUUUCCGUCCCAAAUCUUCUUCUCCACAGGUAACGGGCAAUUUUUUGAUUUCCAUAAUUUUUUGUCUCCACAUGCGAUCUUUACUUGUUGAGCUCAAAUUUUGUGAUGUACAUGUCCCUACUUUUUAUAGCUAUAUUCAAUCUUCACAUUGUGAUAUUCUUUCACAGUUCAUGGUUUGUGAGAUUAUUUGUGUUUGCUUAUUUUCUGGGCAAGUGCAAUUAUAUCCUUUCUCAUUAUUGGUCACAGAGAUAACUCUUUAGACAGCACAAUUCUUUCAUCCUACCACUUAUUUGAUUUAAUUUCUGAGAGGAAAUAGAUGUCAUGACAUGCUGAUAAAUGAAUCUCAAGUUGCAUAAGAAGAUGGCCCUAUUGAUUUAGAACAUAGAAUCAGUAGGUUUUUUUGUUGCCAAAACAAGAAAUGAACUAGAAAUAAGAGGUAGAAACAACUUUUGCCAAUACUAAUGACCAGGACUCCACUUUCUUUUACAGGACAACGAACAAUGCUGCUAAUGCUGCCUAGGUAUGCACCUCUUGUUCCUGUACUAUGGAAAUUUAUGAAGCAAUGCCACGAGAAUCAGAAGUGAUCAGCCUUGUCUGGGCAUUUAACAUAUCUGUCGGCAGAUGCACCUGGCUGGCUAUUACCUUUGUCAGUUUUCUGCCCUGUAUAUAAGCAUAUGCUUACGAUAGUUGUCAAUGGGGAGUUCUACGAGCAAGAGACGCCACUGUCUUUAAAAGUUAUCAAAUGCUUGAUUGUUAUCUUAAGGCAGGCCUUAUGGCAGCUCCUGUGGUUGAAUCCUGUCGCUUCCCCAAAUGUAUCCAAGUCUACU